UGUGCCAGCCGCCGCGGUAAUACGAAGGGGGCUAGCGUUGCUCGGAAUCACUGGGCGUAAAGGGUGCGUAGGCGGGUUUCUAAGUCAGAGGUGAAAGCCUGGAGCUCAACUCCAGAACUGCCUUUGAUACUGGAAGUCUUGAGUAUGGCAGAGGUGAGUGGAACUGCGAGUGUAGAGGUGAAAUUCGUAGAUAUUCGCAAGAACACCAGUGGCGAAGGCGGCUCACUGGGCCAUUACUGACGCUGAGGCACGAAAGCGUGGGGAGCAAACAGGAUUAGAAACCCCUGUAGUCC
rnacentral:rRNA from 1 species